UACGUAGGGGGCAAGCGUUGUCCGGAUUUAUUGGGCGUAAAGAGCGUGUAGGCGGCCAGAUAGGUCUGUUGUGAAAACUCGAGGCUCAACCUCGAGACGCCGAUGGAAACCAUUUGGCUAGAGUCCGGAAGAGGAGAGUGGAAUUCCUGGUGUAGCGGUGGAAUGCGCAGAUAUCAGGAGGAACACCAAUAGCGAAGGCAGCUCGCUGGGACGGUACUGACACUGAGGCGCGAAAGCGUGGGGAGCGAACAGG
rnacentral:rRNA from 1 species